rnacentral:rRNA from 1 species
GAUGAACGCUGGCGGCGUGCCUAACACAUGCAAGUCGAGCGAUCUUCUUCGGAAGAGAGCGGCGGACGGGUGAGUAACGCGUGGGUAACCUGCCCUGUACACACGGAUAACAUACCGAAAGGUAUGCUAAUACGAGAUAAUAUGCUUUUGUCGCGUGGUAGAAGUAUCAAAGCUUUUGCGGUACAGGAUGGACCCGCGUCUGAUUAGCUAGUUGGUAAGGUAACGGCUUACCAAGGCGACGAUCAGUAGCCGACCUGAGAGGGUGAUCGGCCACAUUGGAACUGAGACACGGUCCAAACUCCUACGGGAGGCAGCAGUGGGGAAUAUUGCACAAUGGGCGAAAGCCUGAUGCAGCAACGCCGCGUGAGCGAUGAAGGCCUUCGGGUCGUAAAGCUCUGUCCUCAAGGAAGAUAAUGACGGUACUUGAGGAGGAAGCCCCGGCUAACUACGUGCCAGCCGCCGCCGUAAGAC